GCAAGCGUUAUCCGGAUUUACUGGGCGUAAAGAGCGCUGAGCCGGUUCCGUAAGUUGGGCUUGAAAGCCCCGGGCUUAACCCGGGUAGGUCGCUCAAUACUGCGGGACUUGAGGGCAGCAGAGGGAGGCGGAAUUCCCGGUGUAUCGGUGAAAUGCGUAGAUAUCGGGAGGUACACCAGUGGCGAAGGCGGCCUCCUGGACUGUUUCUGACGCUGAAGGCGAAAGCUAGGGGAUCGAACGGGAUUAGAAACCCCGGUAGUCCUAGCCGUAAACGAUGGAUGCUGGGUCUGUGGGGUAUAGAUCCCCUCCGUGCCGAAGCUAACGCGUUAAGCAUCCCGCCUGGGGAUUACGGCCGCAAGGCUUAAACUCAAACGAAUUGACGGGGGCCCGCACAAGCAGCGGAGCGUGUGGUUUAAUUCGAUGCUACACGAAGAACCUUACCUGGGCUUGACAUGUAGGUAGUAGUGAAGCGAAAGCGGAACGACCCUUCGGGGAGCCUACACAGGUGCUGCAUGGCUGUCGUCAGUUCGUGCCGUGAGGUGUCGGGUUAAGUCCCGUAACGAACGCAACCCUUGCCCUUAGUUACAUGUGUCUAAGGGGACUGCCCGGGACAACUGGGAGGAAGGUGGGGAUGACGUCAAGUCAGCAUGGCCUUUAUGUCCAGGGCUACACACACGCUACAAUGGCCGGUACAAUGGGUCGCCAAGCCGCGAGGCGGAGCCAAUCCCCCAAAGCCGGUCUAAGUUCGGAUUGUGGGCUGCAACUCGCCCAUAUGAAGCUGGAGUUGCUAGUAACCGCGCGUCAGCAAUAGUGCGGUGAUACGUUCCCGGGCAUUGUACACACCGCCCGUCACGUCAUGGAAGCUGGCAACACCUGAAGCCAGUGAGCUAACCCGCAAGGGGGGCAGCUGUCGAAGGUGGGGCUG
rnacentral:rRNA from 1 species